rnacentral:rRNA from 1 species
CCUACGGGUGGCUGCAGUGGGGAAUAUUGGACAAUGGGGGGAACCCUGAUCCAGCCAUGCCGCGUGUGUGAAGAAGGCCCUCGGGUUGUAAAGCACUUUCAGUGAGGAAGAACGCCUGGUGGUUAAUACCCAUCAGGAAAGACAUCACUCACAGAAGAAGCACCGGCUAACUCCGUGCCAGCAGCCGCGGUAAUACGGAGGGUGCGAGCGUUAAUCGGAAUUACUGGGCGUAAAGCGCGCGUAGGUGGCUUGAUAAGCCGGUUGUGAAAGCCCCGGGCUCAACCUGGGAACGGCAUCCGGAACUGUCAAGCUAGAGUGCAUGAGAGGAAGGUAGAAUUCCCGGUGUAGCGGUGAAAUGCGUAGAGAUCGGGAGGAAUACCAGUGGCGAAGGCGGCCUUCUGGACUGACACUGACACUGAGGUGCGAAAGCGUGGGUAGCAAACAGGAUUAGAUACCCUUGUAGUC